CUCUUUCAUGCCUUUCAUGUAGGCAAAGUAGACAGGGAGGGUGUUUUCUCCCAAUCAAGCUAUAAUCAAACUGACUUAGAAGAAGCUAUUAAUGCACAGAUCCAUCAUUGCUUGGCUAUGGACAAACGGGCAGGUGGUGCUGCACAACAGGCUGGGAUGAGCUCUUUUUUUCCUUCCUGGACGGAAAAGCUGCCACGUCUUUGAGCUGCUGAGAUGUUGCCAUGAUGUGGUGGUGCCUGAGGAGUGGUCCUUUCUUUGGCAUCUGCAGGCCCUGAGGCAUGGUCUGGAACUGGAAGAGGAACAAAGGGUUGCUGAAGUCUGCUUUGCAGGUGUAGCUGGCUUGCUGAAUUCUUCUCCUUUGCCUAAAGAGAGAGGCUGGACCAUUCCUAAUAAGGUAAGCUCAGGCCUGGAAAAUAUCGGCUCAUCACCUAGCUUCUUCAAGCCAAAAUGCUUUUGACCUACCUGCACACUGCUCUUUUGCUAACAACUCUCUUCCUAUCUCUCUGGGUUUCCCUAUAAAGAAGAUAGAAGGGUCUGUUUCUCCUUAAGGUUUGUAGGAACUCUAUCCCAAAAAUAAAUCCCUCCUUAACUGCAUAGCGGAACGGUUCACUGACAGCUCCCUGUCUCACUGUGGGCUGACCUUCUCCUGGCUGACUCUGCCAAGACCCUCAUAUUUUAAGGAUGAUGUCUUACUUCCCAGUUUCCACCCCACAGCCCACCUGCCUCUUCCAUUCCUCCCUCUACUCAAGCAGGAGAUCGAUGAUCUAAAUCCCUAUUUGCAGAUGGUGAGAAUGAAAGUAAUAUAAGAUAUAAAGUAAUAAGGCAUAAAGAUGGGACUACUUUUAGUAUGAAUCAUUUGAAAUUCCUUUCUCAUUGGUCAAAAAGCAGUUAAAUAUUGGCAAUUUCAGAUGAUUCACCUAACGAUUCUUUUUGCCCAAGGAGGCAAUGUGAGGUGCACAUCAGUUGCCUAAGUCAGCUAGACUCAUUGGAUGCCCUUGACUUCAACUACUGCACAUGCCUGGAUAAUUCUCAAAUAUGCAUCUCCAAUUCAGCUUCUCUUCUGACCUAUCAGACAUCCUCAUUUGGAUGUGACAAAUGUACCCCAAAUCUGUGAUGUCCAAAAUGGCAUCAUUGUUCCCCACUUCAGACCUGCUCAUUCUAUAUCCCUGUGGCAAGUGCCUCCAUUAUCCAAAGUCACCAAAUUCUACCCAAGGGAAUAUUCGUAGCUGUUCUCUCUUAAAUCCUCCGUCUCAGUUGAUAGACACAUAAGUUAAUAAUAUCUCCUUCAUCGUGUUUAAUCUCCUUUCUACCUCCCCACUGCUCUCUUCUAAAUUCUCAUAAUUUCUUACUGGCAUUCUAGUAACAACCUCCUAAUUAUUUUCUCUGCCUCCAGUUUUCUCACAUCUCCAAAGCCUGUGGAAUCCUUCAAUCAGGGACAUUUUUCUGAAACACAAAUUUGAUGAUGCUCUUCUUCUUCCAUGUCUCCUAUUGCCUUUUGGUAAAGGCCUCAUUCCUAAACACCCACAAGAAUCUUUUAUCUCAUGGUUAUCAAAGGAGGUUGGGAUCUGGCAGUAUUAUCUCUCUCUGUCUCUUUUUUAUUUUCAGACAGGGUCUCACUCUGUUGCCCAGGCUGGAGUGCAGUGGCACAAUCACAGCUCACUGCAGCCUCCACCUCCUGGGCCCAAGCUAUUCUCCUUCCUCAGCCUCCCAAGUAGUUGGAACAGCUACCUGUGUGACCUUGGGCAAGUCACUUGGCAUCUCUGUACCCCCAUUUAUACAAAGGCUUUUGAUCAUCAGUCUUCACAUGGUCUCCCACACUGCCCUGUGCUGAUGGAGCAGAGACGCAAAUGACGUGGGCCAUCCACUUUAACUGUCUUUCAAGGCCUUUCCACCAGGACAGUACCUCACAGGCCUUAUGGCCUUUGGAGUCUGGACAGCCUGAAUUCUCAUCAGUAAAUACUUCAGGUACCUAAUUACUACCCAGGGAGGAACAAUGUGGAACUACAAGCCCAGAGAUGGCUACAGGUGGGCAGAAGCGGGAGACAUGCACCAUCAUCCUUCCAGAAGAGGAAAGUGAUACGUAACUGUCAGAAAUCUGAUUAAAAUUUGCACAUGAAAUCAGUUAGAUAAAUUAUAGAACAUAAGUCAUGAUUCUACUUCUGAAAAAGAAAUAAUGGGUAAUUUUUCAUCAAAAUAGAAAAUAAAUAUGAAUCACUACAAUACCCAAGUAGUUGUUCCCAUCCCUUCCACCCCCAGCAAAUGUAUGCACACCUUGUGCCAGUGGAUGGGAUGCAGUAUUGGAAGUAGAGGAGGCUGGAGGGGGUGGAGGGUAGGAAGAAAGAACCCAGAUGGGAAGAGGUGGGAAAAUGUCAGAGAGAAAUUUCCCUUGAGUCCCAAUUUGCCUGGAGCUGCUUCUGCCUGGAGCUCUACAAGAAAAGCUGUUCAGAAAGGAGGCCAAAGAGAGAGGGGAGAAAAUAAACUCCUUUGUGAGGUUUUCCAGAGGUACACAUUUCUGAAAAGCUGAUUGUAUUUCUUCCUAAUCAUUCCAGUCCAGAGUCCAAUCAGCACAAAGACUGAGACAAUAAACUCACAUCACAAAAGUUUCUGGGAUCCAGGCUUCUUUUCAGGGACAAAUAAUACAAUUUCCAUCUGGAUAAUUUGUUCAUCAUGGCCCUAUGUUUUCUUAACUGUCGAGUGGAGAAACAAAGGCAGGACUCAGUACCAACUUCUAUCCUCUGUGGAUAGCACAAAGACAUCCUGCAUUUGCCCUGGAGGAGCAGUUCAUCAUUUGACUGUAUUUUGUACACAAACAACCAUUUUUCAAUCAGAUCAAGAUUUUCCUACUUUCAUUCAUCCUAAUACCCUACUUCUGCACAAUCAGUCAGAUUGGCUGAGCAGAAAGGCUAGCUUGUUCAUCCGUGUCUGGAAAUGCCAGAUGUACUUUUUUUUUUAAGCCUGGAAUGUUUUUCACUGAACUUGGCCAAGUGUCUGCUCAGAGGGGAGCUCCAGGUGCUACCCCUGGACUACCGGCUCCCGGGCUGCAAGGGGUCUGGGUCUCGAGUUGGAUUGUGAGGGCUAGAGCAUUCCCACUCACCCCAGUACCCUGCAGUGAGCCGGCUUGGAGUGGUGGCAAGAGCAUACAUUUCAGAGACAGUUUCUAGCAACCUUCCUUACUAGCUCUGUGACUUCAUGUCUCAUAGUUGGCACGCAGUACAUGGUAGCUAUUGUUAACAUUUAUUAGUGACAAAUGCCACCAGCAUUAAGACACUAUUAUCCUCUAGUCCCUUGCUACUCAUAAUGUACCCACAGAUCAGCUGCUUCUGCAUCACAGGGAGCUUGUUAGAAAUGCGUCAGAAUCUGCAUUUUAGCAAGAUCUCCGGGAAGUUCCUACACAUUAACGUUUGGGAAGUGCUGCAGUCUAGUCAACACUCCCUGGCUUCCUGGAAGGGCCAACCCACCCAGUCACAAUGCUUUUUUCAGGACAAUCUCUCCUGUGUUCAACAUUUUUUUCUACAACCCAAAUCUUGGCACAUAGCCAAAUCAAAUAUGAAUUCAUCUAAUGGAAACAAUGAGGUAGAAUAUUUGACAUUGAGUUUCACUAUCACUAUGUUUAACUCCUGUCUCAUAACCAUUUUGCUUUCCUAUAUCUGAAAAAGGGGAAGAAUUAUUUUAAACAGUUCACCACUCCAGCCCCUUUUAUUCUAGUCAUGGGUGAGGCUAUAUGUUAGCUUUUUAUGCAUUUCUCUGCCUAAACAUUUCUUCUAAGGAAAAAAGAUUCCCCAGCAGACACACCAUGGGAAUCUGCCUUCUUCUGGAAAUCAGUCCCUGCACUGAUGGAGCUGGUCCAGGUAACGCCUGGCGUCCCCUCUUCAGUGAAUGCCACAGGCCCUGCCUUUUUGAUGCCCCUUUAUUUCAGCUGCGUGGGCAGGACACCAGGCUAUUUGCAACAGCAAUUUCUGAACAUGACUUGCAAUGCAUACUUGCCAGAGAGCUACCACUUCAUCAGGACUGACUGAAUUAGAGGCAGAGACAGCUGCUGCUGGUAAAGUCUUGGUUUCUUGGUCCCAGGCCUCUGGUUCCCACAUGCGAUGCCAUGGAGACCCUGUUUGGAAGCAGCAAUGCCCCCUGAACUGAGAUGGACCUAAACAGCUCUGAGCAGCCAACGGAGGGAAGAAGAGAUUCCUAGAAGGCAAGAAACAAAAUGGCCAGCUCCACCUGGAGGCCAGUGGCUUCAGUUUGUCACAAAGACAAAUUUAUUACAGCAAAAAAGUGCCCCCUACUCAAGAGCUGUUCAACUCCAGAAGACUCCAAAUGAAGAGAAGGGAUCCUGAAUUCUGCUUCUUGGGCAACACAACUUGACCACUGUGGACUGAGAGAGAAGAGUGGUCAUCAAGGUGAUUGGCUGAGUAGAACAGAAAGGAGGAAUGGAGUUGUUUAGAAACCAAGCCACUGGAUUGGCCAUCAUUCCAAUGGAAAGUUUUGCACCACAGGUUUGCAGCUAUUGAAAGACCAUUCUGAUUAUUGCAAAAUGAUUAGCACAUAGGCUUUUGAAUCAAAUUGAACUGGGCUCUGCCCUUUAUUAUAUGUCCUUGGGCAAGUUACUUAACCUUGCUAAGUCUCCAUUUUCUUACGUGUUAAAAAGGAGGAUAAUAUUAGUAAUUACCUCAUAAAACAAUUGUGAAGAUUAAAUGCAAUAGCUUGUAUGAAGUGAUCCUUGUUUAGCAUCCUGGUUCAUAAUAAGUACUCCAGAAAUGUUAGCUGCCAUCAAUAGCGCAUAAUUUUAAAGAAAUGGGCAUUUUUUUAUUACUGGAAUUGCUGCAAAGAUGACAAAUAGACAUCCUUCCUUAAUAAAGGGAUGUGAUUCGUUUACAAAUAGCAGCACACAUUUGCAUGUAGACAAUAGUGUGAUAAUAUUCUUAAAUACAGUUUGUUCAGUUUGUUCUUCUAAGAAAAUAAAAACACACUGCUUCCCGUUGAUCCUGAACAUUUCUCCCCCUCUUACUUGUUUACAUUGUUAAAUUGCUUAGCAACCUCUUUUUUAGGCUUGACUAGAGACAUACAAUUUCAAUCAAGAGCAGGACAAAAUACCACAAAACUUAAAUAAAUAUACUACUGCCACAUUAAAGAUAAAACAUAAAAAUCACAUUUAUUUUUAAUCACAUUUCUUUUAUCUUCUCAUGACUUUGACUUUCUGCAAAUUCAAAUGUUUUUCCUUCCCCAUAUAAGAGGUGAAGUUUGGCUUCAGUAGCUCAGCGUGUGAGUGGAAGGGUGAGGAGCAUCUCGGGAAGGGAUGGGUCUCUCUGCUCUCAGUUCCAGAAUCCCAUCUCGUCAUUAAUCUUGUACUUUUUCUUCCCUUACUUUGGCACUCUGGACUAGCUCAACAAUCAUAGAGGGGGGAAAAGUGACAGUGAUCAACUUUCCCUGUAGAAAAGGAUCGAAACAUUUCCUUUUUAUGUUUUCAAAGGACAGGAACCCAGUCUUGUCUCAUUUGCUCUGUUGAGUGGAGUAAUUCAUGAGCCCACAUCACCUAGUCCUGAAAUUCCUUCAACUACCAAUGUACCCCUGCCAAAAGUAAUAUUCUCAGCUUUCUAAUAACAGCCUUUCUUACCCUCUAUAUUAUCAUCCUAUUUGCCUCAUCUGUAACCUUCCCCAGAGGAGCUCUCAUCAUUGGCAAAUUAUUUUAAAUCCUGUUUUCAAACCAGGUAGAACAACAACAACAAUAAUAAUAGGCAAAUGUUAGAUGUAAUAAUUGGCUCAAAAGACCUAAGUGUGUUUUCCAGUGUUUCUGAGGGUAGGUCACUUCUGAAUUCCAGAAUUGGAGCAAAAACUUCAGAAUUGCUCUCUGUUUCAGGUAGAGCCUUCCACAAUAUCUUCUCUCUUCCUCUCUUUCUCUGCUCCCUGUCCUCUUGAAUAAUAGAUGGGAUCAGAAGACCUCCCUCAAGUUUACCUCAGGUCCAAUUUCUAGCUUUAUCGUUUUUUUGGAUUUGUUUGUUUGUUUUUUGUCUUGAAUACAUCACUUUACAAUUCUGAGCACAUGCCAAAGUCCGUUCAAGCUCCAAAAUUUCUGCCCCCUUAUACAUCUGAGAGGGACUUUCAUUUCUAGAUAAGAAGUAGAUGGGCUGGGCCCGGUGGCUGAAGCCUAUAAUCCCAGCACUUUGGGAGGCUGAGGCGGGCAGAUCACGAGGUCAGGAGAUGGAGACCAUCCUGGCUAACAUGGUGAAACCCCAUCUCUACUAAAAAUACAAAAAAAAAUUUUUUUAAUUUAAAAAAAAAGAAGUAGAUGGUCACAGCAGGCUAACACACACACUGUUGCAAUAAGAAAAAAAAAACAGGUAAACUGAAAGCGUCAUUAAAGACACUAUCUUGUUGGAAGCAACAGGAACUAGAUAAACUCAAGUUCCUACAUGAGCUUAUAAUCACCAGCUGUUUGCUUCCCAAGGAGCAUUUGUUCAUUGCAGGUAAAGGCUGAAGAUGAGAUUUCGGCCAAAGAGAAGGACUUUACUGGGUAAAAGAAAAAUCAGCAGAAGUUUUGGUGAAUGAAUGGGAUUGGCAUAAUAGAUGGGAAAAUAGAAGAGUGCAAAAUGCAAGGCUCAUUUCCAUAUGUUUUGGAAUGGUGGGGAAGUCUUAAAGGGGCAGAACCAGAAAGAGAAAAUAAAAUCUGCUGUAGUCUGCAGUGCUUGAGAAACAACAUCUUGUUAGAAAUACGGGUUUACAAUAAAUGUCCAACAAUUUUUCCUCAUAAACCAUUUGCCAGAUUUGAACCUUUGUGGCAUGGAUAUCUAAGAUACAGCCUCUAAACCUCUGAAGAGCAAACUAUUUAGAACUGUGGAGACAGGUAGCUGCUAGGCUUCUCAUCAAAAGCCCAAAAUUGACCUCUGCAAAAAUCAGGGACAAAUAAAAGGUGAGCUGGGAUUUGCUAAAAAUUGCAACUCAACCUCCUAUCCAGCACAAUCUCUGCCUGUCUGCCCAUCAGAGGAUAGGAGGAACCCUUGCUGGUAGACAUUUCAUCUGAACAUUUUGUUUUGUUGUUGUCAUUAUUUUGUU
rnacentral:lncRNA from 1 species